CACCAGGUGAGCUGCAUUUGGGACCUACCCCUCUGGAAAACACCUCCUCCACCCGGGUCUCGGCCUCUGGAGUCCGCUUUCAUCUGCCUGGGAAGAGAAUCCCAGGUCGGCCUCAUCUGCAGCUAGGGGGGAGAGCGUGGUCCUCAAAUCAGCGCCUAUGGGAGCCACCUGGGAGAAGUGCUUGGGACCACUGAGGAGGUGAAGAGACACCAGCCCAACACAUGGCUCAGUUCUGGGGGUCAGAAAUCCAAAAUGGGUCUCAGCAGGAAAAUCAAGGUGAGGAGCGGGGCUGUGUUUCCUCCCAGGGUUGGGCGUGGGGAAUGUUUGCUUGUGUUUCCCAGCAUUCAGAAGUCACCUGCAUUCCUUGGCUCAUGGCCCCCUGCUCCAUCUUCAAGCCAGCAAUGGCUGGCUGGGUCUUCCACAUCCUGUCAUUCUUGACGGCCCCUCCUGCCUCCCUGUUCCCUGUAUAAGGUCUCUCACCAUGGCACCGGGUCCCCCAGAUAAUCCAGGGCAGAGUCCCCCCAUUUCCAGGGGAGCCAAUUUGCAACCUUAUUCCUUUUCUAUGUAAUGCAACAGUCACAGCUUCUAUUCAUUAAGAUGUAAGCCUCUUUGGGAACGGAGCUUCCACAUCCUUCCACUUGUCUGCUGGUGUAGGAUGCUUCUCCCCACAUCCCAGGUAAGGACGAAAUAAAAAUUUCCCUUCAAUCCCCCGAACCAAAAACAACAACAACAACAAACAAACAAACCUUCCCCACUCAGAGCCCCUCCCAUCUGCAUGCUGAUCUGCACUGGCUCCUUUGAGGACACCCAUCCCUCUGUCAGGCCUGCCCCGAACUCCAUAUAAAGUGAUAGCGAAGUUAAAAUAGAUUUUGGGCCCCUCCCACCUCUUUCUGCUUCUCUGAUAAGUUUCUCAGACAACAAUGCAGUUUGAAGCCCUUCAGGGAUCAGCUUCCAUUUGCCCCCUGCACAUUCAAGUAACGGGUGACUAUUUAUAUAAAUAAUACAGAACCUUGCUCAAGCCACCCUGCCCAAAGAGCCCCGGGAUCCUAUUUUUAGUUGGCAGCCCCACCCCCACCUCUGUGGAGCUGUGGCCCUCUGAGAUCUGGAUACGGCUCCAGCCAAGGGUGGAGACAAAGAUCUGGUGGCUCAGAGGGGCACAGGGUGCAUCGCUGGCAGCUGGAGCACUGGGGUAGACACCUAGAGGGGCCCGUGCCAGGGGAUCAGGAGGACCCGAAUGUCCAGGUCAGGGUCGAAUUUAAAGCUCUCAGGAAAUGACGAGAAGGAGCCGUGAUUCUAAAAUGUCCCUGCCCAGAUCACCUCCCCAGACCAAGCAUAGGGGUAGGGGGCUGGACCCAGAGACUUCGCCCUCCCCAAACUGUCCAGAAACUGGUGCCCACUCUGCAGAUGAGGACACCGAGGUGCAGAGUGGCAGUACACUCAGCCCACAGGCACACGAGCGAGGGCAGAGCGCGGCUCCCAUAGCAGAUGAACCAUCAGUGCGCCUGGG